UUAUUUUUGAAAUUUUUAGCAGAUUUAUUUAAAAAUUAUCUUUUUAUAUUUUGAAUUUAUUUUAUUUUGGUUUUCAAAAUAAAGUUUUUUUAUUUUUUGAAUUUAUUUUAUUUUGUUUUUCAAAAUUAAGUUUUUUUAUUUUAUUUGGGGCCUUAUGGCCCUCUUUUAAAUUUUGGGCCCAUCUAACUUUAGGGUUGAGGGCUUACUAUUCUUUAAUUUUUUUAGGCCCUCUUAUUUUGGGGGUUGGGGCCUAAAUUAAUUGGCCCCUUAAAUUGACAGCUCUAUUAAUGAGUCAAAGCUUAGAAAACACGUGAUUCACAUGCUUAAAAGACUCAGAGAAAAAAUAUCUCAAAUGUGUCUCCCUCUUCUCCGUUCUCCCUCCGUCGCGCCAAAGGCCAUCUCCAGUGGUGGAGGCGCCUCUAGAAUCUCAAUUAAACAUAUCUCCUAAAUCAGUUUUCUACACUGAAUCCAGAAAUCACUAUAUCUACGUCUAAUUCAAUCGGAUAUGCUCGAAUCGAAUCAAAAGAGGUAAGGACCCUAGGUCUUCAAGUUGAAAUUAAACAAUGCUCGUCCAUAGUCAAAUCCAUAGAGGUCAGGGCUUUGACUCCCCCAAUCUAUAGCUACACAUUGGUAACUUCUAUAUUGCGAAACAAUGAAGAAAUGAAAUGGAGACUCACCAGAAUGGAGUCGGCGUCAGGUAAAUGAAUUUGCAGGGCUGUCACGGGCCAUGUGGAAUGUGUAUUUAAAUUGUGGUGUUAUGCUACGAAUCAUAGUCGUGUGGGAGGUGCAUUAAACUUUUGCUUCAAAUGGAAUGGAUUUGUGAUGGAACUUAAACUGUGUAUUUAUUGUGGUUGUAAUUUGUAAUUUGGAUUGAAAUAUUGUAUUGGAAGAUGAAUGGUAAAUCAAUGGUUUAUGUAUGAGAAUAGAAUUUUGAAUGUAAUUGGAUUGUUAAUGCAAAUGAAUGAAAUUUGUUUAUGGGA